UUAAAGGUUUACAUUUUCAUGUCUUCAGUA
rnacentral:piRNA from 1 species